UUGGCCGUAGCUCAACGCGGACAGAGCGCUGCACUGUGAAUGCAGUCAUGUGCGGGUUCAAAUCCCGUCGGCCAACCCA
rnacentral:tRNA from 1 species